UUUUGUGAUGAAUGCCUAAUAAGCACAUGGAUUAGACGGGCAGAACUCUUCAAGCUUUUGUAAAUGUAGCUGCUUGCGGGACACGAAAUAACUGCUCUUGUAAAACUUCCCUUUGGCAUUGCAAUAUUUAAAGUCCAGGAAAAUAAUGGAGAGAAAACUGGACAAUAAAAUGAAAAGGGAACUGUCUUACUUAGCUACUUUAAACGACAGAAACAUAUCCCUGGUGUCUAUUCGUAAGCAGCAGGCAGCUUGUGAUGUGCCCGAACUACUGAUUAUUGGUGAAAAGUCCAAGACGGCAUCUCUGGUAAAAGCAAGUAGUAACUUGCAGAAAGAAGAGAAACUUUUGCAGAGUUACUCCAUGGGAAUGACAGAAGUCAAUACAGUUGAAAAACAGGCUUUGUCCAACAUUGAUUCUCCUCCUGGUUGUGAGCUGAAGCCUACAAUGAAACAUAAUUUUGCAUUUGACAACAUGGGCUAUGAGGAGAGCUCUGAAACCAUGCCCUCCCCACCUUCCCAAGAGAAUACUGUGGUAGUCAACAUUGUGGGAAUGACUUGCCAAUCAUGUGUUCAGUCAAUAGAAGGCCAAAUUUCCAAGGUGAAGGGCAUUUUGAGAAUUAAAGUGUCCCUUGAGCAGAACAAUGCUGCUAUCAAGUAUCUGCAGUCAGAAAUAAGUCCUGAACAGAUUUGCCAGGAAAUUCUGGAUAUGGGCUUUGAUGCCAACAUAGCAGAAGAGAAGUUGACAACAGCCACUGUAAAUUUGCCAAGCUUGAAAGAAGCAGUAGUUAAACUUCGGGUAGAAGGCAUGACAUGCCAGUCCUGUGUCACCACCAUUGAAGGAAAGAUUAGGAAACUGCACGGUGUAACAAAAAUCAAGUUGUCACUUGAUAACCAAGAAGCAAUUAUUGCUUACCAUCCUUACAUCAUUCAGCCUGAUGACCUCAAGAGCCACAUCAGUGACAUGGGGUAUGACUGCACCGUUAAAAGUAAAUCAGCUCCUUUGAAGCUGGGUGCCCUUGACCUCCAGCGCUUGCAGAAUGCAAACCCCAGGGAGACACCUGCAAGUCUCGAGAGUGAUGGGCUGGAUCCGCUGGUCACCGAGAUGGGUAGCACAACAACAGUGACACUACAGAUAGAGGGCAUGCACUGCAAGUCCUGUGUCAGGAACAUCGAAGGAAAUAUAUCAGAUCUUCCUGGAAUAACAAGUAUUAAAGUGUCUUUGGAGCAUAAAUGUGCUGUGGUACAAUAUAGCCCAGAUUUAAUCACCCUGUCAGCUUUGCUGCAAGCUAUUGAAUCCCUUCCACCUGGAAACUUUAAAGUAAGCCUCCUAAAUGAUUCAGAAGCAAAUAAAGCAGCACCUCCCUCAGGUACUUUCACAUACAAUGUCAUCAGACAGCCACCACAAGGCACGAUGGCUGUUAUUAAGAUUGAUGGCAUGACCUGCAAUUCCUGUGUACAGGCCAUAGAAGGGGCCAUAGCACAGAGGCAAGGAGUGCAGGAUGUAGCAGUUUCUCUAGCUGGUGGUACUGGGACCAUACACUAUGAUCCAGCUGUCACUAGUGGAGAAGAGUUAAGAGCUGCCAUAGAAGACAUGGGAUUUGAUGCCUCUGUGCUGACAGAUACUGCCACUGGAGAACACAGGAGCCAGCCUGAUGCCAGCAAAGCUGCUGUGCAGCCUCAAGCACCAGAGCCUCGUCACCAAGGCGAUGCCUCAGAUGCUCUUCCAGACAGUUCUCACCCUGAUGGGUCAAACCAGCUCAGUGGAGCCACAGAAGAAAAGUGUGUUUUACAAAUCACAGGCAUGACCUGUGCAUCGUGCGUGUCUACCAUUGAAAGAAAGUUACAGAAAGAAGAUGGAAUUGUUUCAGUGUUGGUAGCACUGAUGGCUGGUAAAGCAGAGAUAAAAUACAAGCCAGAACUCAUACAGCCUCUUGAAAUAGCACAGCUGAUCCAGAAUUUGGGUUUUGAAGCUACCAUCGUGGAAAAUAAUGCAGAAACAGAAGGACAAGUGGAGCUUCUUAUUACAGGGAUGACUUGUGCUUCUUGUGUUCACAAUAUUGAAUCCAAACUCAUGAGAACAAAUGGCAUAUUCUCUGCCUCAGUUUCACUUGCGACUAGCAAAGCUCACAUCCUGUUCGAUCCUGAAAUUAUUGGACCUCGAGAUAUUAUAAAAGUAAUCAAGGAAAUUGGCUUUCAUGCUUCUGUGGCUAAAAGAGCUCCAAAUGCACAUAACCUGGAUCAUAAAAAGGAAAUACAGCAGUGGAGGAAAUCUUUCUUGUACAGCCUAGUGUUUGGUAUCCCUGUUGUAGUCAUAAUGGUUUAUAUGCAAAUACCCAGUGGUGAAGACCAUGGAUCAAAGGUGCUGGAACAGAAUCUCAUUCCUGGAUUAUCUAUUUUGAAUCUUCUCUUCUUUAUCCUGUGCACUUUUGUUCAGUUCCUUGGUGGAUGGUAUUUUUACGUACAAGCUUACAAGUCACUGAGGCACAGGACAGCCAAUAUGGAUGUGCUCAUCGUAUUGGCCACGACGAUUGCUUAUCUGUAUUCCUGUGUGAUCUUGAUAGUAGCAAUCAUUGAAAAGGCAGAGAAAAGCCCUGUCACGUUCUUUGACACUCCUCCGAUGUUGUUUGUGUUCAUUGCGCUUGGCAGAUGGCUGGAACACAUAGCCAAGGGUAAGACCUCAGAAGCUCUUGCUAAGCUUAUGUCUCUUCAAGCCACAGAAGCCACUGUGGUGACUCUAGGACCUGGCCACUCUAUUGUCAGGGAGGAGCAAGUACCUGUUGAACUGGUUCAAAGGGGUGAUAUUAUAAAAGUUGUUCCUGGUGGAAAGUUCCCAGUGGAUGGAAAGGUCAUUGAAGGCAGUUCUAUGGCAGAUGAGUCUCUCAUUACUGGGGAACCUAUGCCAGUCAUUAAAAAGCCUGGGAGCACAGUGAUUGCUGGUUCUAUAAAUGCACAUGGCUCACUUCUUGUUAAUGCAACUCAUGUUGGUAGUGAUACCACUCUGGCACAGAUUGUGAAAUUGGUGGAAGAAGCUCAAAUGUCAAAGGCACCCAUCCAGCAACUGGCAGAUAAAUUCAGUGGAUACUUUGUUCCAUUUAUCAUCAUCAUUUCAACUGUGACAUUGAUAGCAUGGAUCACAAUUGGUUUUGUGAAUUUUGAUAUUAUUAAAAAGUAUUUUCCGAAUCACAGCAAAAACAUUUCAAAAGCUGAAAUAAUACUGAGGUUUGCAUUUCAAACUUCAAUCACUGUGCUGAGCAUUGCAUGCCCUUGUUCUUUAGGCCUGGCUACCCCCACAGCUGUAAUGGUGGGCACUGGAGUGGCUGCACAGAAUGGUAUUCUCAUCAAAGGUGGAAAACCCCUGGAAAUGGCACAUCAGAUCAAGACUGUGAUGUUUGAUAAAACAGGGACCAUCACCUAUGGAGUUCCAAAAGUCACGAGGGUGCUUUUGAUGGGAGACACAGCUGUGCUCCCCCUGAAGAAGGUACUGGCUGUUGUUGGUACAGCAGAAGCCAGCAGCGAGCAUCCUUUAGGAAUGGCCGUCACUAAGUACUGCAAAGAGGAGCUUGGCACUGAGAGCCUGGGAUACUGCAUUGACUUCCAGGCAGUCCCAGGCUGUGGUAUCAGCUGCAAGGUCGGAGGAGUUGAGGCCAUCCUUGGCACAGCUGAGGAAGGUCCCAACAAGCUGGAUGCUAACAGGAGUGGGGAAAGCAGUGCUCCUCGGGGAGAUAAUGCAGUGAUCACACUCUUGGAAUCACCAGGUCCGUCAGCUUCUCAGAAAUACUCGGUGUUGAUCGGAAAUCGUGAGUGGAUGCGACGCAAUGGCUUGAAUAUUACAAGUGAUGUAAAUGAUGCAAUGACAAACCAUGAAAUGAAAGGACAGACUGCCAUACUAGUGGCUAUAGAUGGUGUGUUGUGCGGAAUGAUCGCAAUAGCAGACACUGUCAAGCAGGAGGCAGCCCUUGCUGUGCACACGCUGCAGAGCAUGGGGAUAGACGUGGUGCUCAUAACAGGGGACAACAGGAAAACUGCAAAAGCCAUUGCUACUCAGGUAUCCCACCACACAGCUGACUCAGCCAGCACUGUGGUAUGCACGUUCUUCUGUGCUGUGAGGUUGGGAUCAAAAAAGUUUUUGCGGAGGUUCUUCCUUCUCACAAGGUUGCAAAGGUCCAGGAACUCCAAAAUGGAAAGAAGAAGGUUGCAAUGGUUGGUGAUGGAGUCAACGAUUCCCCUGCACUAGCCAAGGCCGAUGUUGGAAUAGCAAUUGGAACGGGCACCGAUGUUGCUAUUGAAGCUGCAGAUGUUGUCCUUAUCCGAAAUGAUUUGCUGGAUGUAGUUGCCAGUAUUCACUUAUCCAAGAGAACAGUUCGAAGAAUACGAAUAAAUCUGAUUCUUGCCUUAAUUUAUAAUAUGCUUGGAAUACCCAUAGCAGCAGGUGUGUUCAUGCCUGUUGGCCUCGUGCUUCAGCCUUGGAUGGGAUCAGCUGCAAUGGCAGCUUCUUCUGUGUCUGUCCUGCUGUCUUCCCUGCAGCUGAAAUGUUACAAAAAGCCAGACACAGAAAGUUACGAGGCACAAGCUCAAGGCCGCAUGAAGCCACUCACUCCUUCACAAAUCAGUGUUCACAUUGGAAUGGACGACAGGAGGAGGGAUUCUUCCAAACCAUCUUCUUGGGAUCAGACUAGCCAAGUGUCCCUCUCUUCCUUGGCUUCCAACAGGCUGCCGAGACGCAAUGGUUUCAUUGAGGAGGAAGGUGGCAAGUGGUCGUUGCUCAUAAACGGAGCAGAUGAAGAGCAGUACAUCUGAAGCACUGGACUCUUGGUACAGAGGGAAAUGUUCCUCCUCCCCAGUCAGGGGAGGGUCUGACUUAUUUCAUCAACAGCUUCAGUGUUGUAAGUGAAGUGUUCCUUCAGCUCAUGAGAAGAUUGCAACUCAGCUCAGUGUUGGGUUGUAUGGAUUGUGGAUUUUUUUCAGGUCACCAGUUAUUUCUGGUCAUGGAAAUAAUCUGUGGCACUAUAAUGAACUGGCUUGUUUGCACACGGAAUUUAGUGAAAUAAUGUAAAAUUGUAAUUUUCAGUCUAAAAGAGUUUCUCUUUGACUCUUUGCUAGGAACCAAAUUUCAUACUUUUCACUCUUUAAAACUUUAUUACUUCAAGACCACAUGAAGUAAAAGUAUUUUCAGAGCUGCCAAAUAUUGAUUUGUAUCUAAAUGAAGUUAGCAAUGGCAAAAGGAAUUCUGUGGUCAGAAGUUGAAUUUUUACACAGAAUCCUAACUAGUCAUGUCACUGUGAGAUCACUUUGUAUUUAGGAUCCAUGGCAUCUCCUGGGGCCAAAAAUGCUUUGUUGUUUCACCUGCUAUAACUCUCUGAAAGGUCUUUUUCAAAGAUUUUCACUUGCUUUGAAGUAUUGCAUUCUUUUGAUGCACGUUUCUUUACUCUCUUUGAUUUUCCCUUUUUCUCCAUAUAAGCCCUUUUCCCCUUUUUCUUGCACAGGAGAUCUAUGAGUUAUCAUUAUGUUUACAGAUACUUCUGUUUGGGACAAACUCCUUUAAGUCACCAGGAACCGGUCCAUUCCUAUUGAAGUCCAUAAAGGCAGAACUGGUUCCUGGUCCCAGUUAUCCAAGAUACCUUGCUGGACCCUGGGGAAGCUCCUUAGAGUUGGCCAGUUGUCUGUCUUUUUCCUCUGACAGAGUGAAGGAUUUGUGCCAGUGUGAGCAAAGGUGGUAUUUACCUUGGAAUGACUGAGCAGAACUAGCACUGGUGUGACUCCAGCGUAGCUGAACAGAGUGAGCUUAUUGCACAACUUAACCCCAGCUGGCUGCUUGCUUAAAAUGCAGCUAAGUUUAAAUUAAAAAGGUGGAAAAAUGGCCUUAAAGUGGGCUUCUAUUUGCCAUAAUAUGAAUAAAUGACAGGACCUGAACUAAGAAAAUUUGUAAUUUAAAUUUGUAUUUAUGUUUUGUAUUGUUUUUAUCUCCCCUCUUUAUUUCAAUGAGAAAUCAAAGUGCUGGAUAACCAUUUUUUUUCUGUAACAUCUUUACCAAAUCUUGCAUUAACUUCAUCCCUGUGGAUGUCAGAUUCACCCCUUAACACUUUUUAGAGUCAGGAUGGCAGUAAUCAACUGCUUUGGUGCACUGGAUCCAGUCCCAGAGUGCUGUGUUGUCCAGCUGCGGACUCUGAGGUAAGCAGAGUUUUAUAGUCUAGUUUAGAAACUGAAAGAAGAGGAAAUACAUUGCUAAACAACAUGAAAUAACUACUUAUUUUCAUUGACUGAAAUAUAGAGCUGUUUCUAAGAUGGGUUCAAAUCCUGCUUCUCCUAAUGUAAAAAUGAAAAACAAGUUGGAGAGGAAAAGAAUUGUUCUUAAAGAAUUGGAUGGGUCCUCUUAUUUUCUCAGCACUGUCUUAAAUAGAAUUACAAAUCAGUUUUAAAACUCUAUAUAAGUAGAGAUUACUUUCACAGUUUUUCACACAGUUCACACACACACUUUCCACACACUUUUCAAAGGUGCAUGCCAUAGGUGCAUG